UCGGUGGCUGGCUUUGUUCCGCCCGGACCCGCCGGCGGCCCCGGGAACAAAGGCCGGAGAGGCGGCGGAGGCGGGUCCGGCCGCUGGCCGCGGUGCUGACCCCGAGGCCCUCCCCUCCCUGCCCGGCCCGCUCGCCUGCCUCCCCCGGGACCCCGAGAGGAAAAGGGGAAAGGGAAGAGGCUCGGGGGAGGGGAGGGGGGCCGGGGUGGGGAGGACCACCCAGUCUCCCACGGCCGGGCACCGGUUCGGGGCCGCCCACCGACGCCGAUCCGGGGGAAUCGUCCCGCCGCGUCCAGCUUCCCGGGACAGAGUCUCGUUCAUCCGAACCGCACCUCGGCGGAGGCGAGGGGAGAUGCUAAAAGUCCAACCUGGCGACUGUGGAGCUCGGGGAGACCGACACCCCCCCCCCGCCCCGAAUCGGUGCCCCCGCCCGUCAAGCGCUUAGUACAGCGCUCCGCACGCAGUAAGCGCUCAACGAAUACGAUUGCCCGAAAACGUCGGCGGGACUGACGGUGUCACACCGCAGCCCGCAGGCGUCUUGCUUCCCCAGUCGCCAGGGACCCUCCCAUCUCUCCACGAUCCCCCCGGACCCUCACCCGAAGGGGGGUGGGAGGGAACGGGCCGGGAUAGGGGGGCUAAAAAAGCGCGUCCCGGGCCCCCCGCCCUCUUUCCUUCUCCCCUCUUCCCCGGCCCCGCACAGGGGCAACGCGGGACCUGGGCAUUUCGAGCAAGGCCGGUGCCACCCCGGCCACCCCGGGGGACCCUUCUCGGUGCGGGCGUCUGCAGCGCUUUUGACCCCUCACCUCGUUUGUUCUUAAUUUCCCCGGCAGGGGGAAAGAAAAAACCCCAAAACUUCGGUUGCGGGGAAGGGGAGAAGAGCUUAAACCUUAAAGCGACAAAUGCUCUCUUCCGAAUUAGCUCACAUCCUUAAACCCCAGGAUCAAGGCCCGGCCGCGUUUACUUUUCCCCCGCCGGGGAUCGGCCGCCCCGAGUCCGAAUGGUCCAGCGCGGCUGAAGCUGCUCCGGUGGGCAAAAGUUCAGGACACGAGGCGCUAAUGAAGCCAAAGGACGAAAGGGUCGAAAUGUGGCCUGAACCCCAAAGGGACCGCGCCUUCCUACUGCGCUGGGGGUGUGAUAUUAGGGACUGAGGCAACACGCGGCCCGGAUGGAGAGACGCUCAGCUAGGAUAACUAAAUCCGCCCGAAAAGCCCUGAAGUCCCCCCUGCACCCAAUCUCCGGGGACCCCACUAUCUGUCACCCUCUUUUAAAGGGGGACCGAUAACUUGUUUCUCCCCCUCCACGUUGACUUCACACGUCCUCGUCACCCCUCGCGCCUUCCGAAGCUAAAAUGCAUUUUUUCCUGGUCUGCCGCUUGGAUUCUUCCCUCCGUUUCCUCAUUUAUUUAUUUUUUUUAAUUUUAGGAAUCAUAGAGAGUCAAGGGAGAUGAAGGGGAAGGAGAGAAGAGUAAGGACAGCCGAACUCGGUCAGAUUCGUUAGGGCUGAAUUUGCGGCUUUUGUUCAACGCCUGGGCGAAUGCCUAUCAAGACAUUUCGAAGACGUCUCGAAGGAGAACGCGACGCAUCGCCCAACACAUCUCCGGCCGAGUUGUGUAAUAACCACCCAUUACGUAAUGCCAACGGAUCUAAUCCCCUAUUCUAAUCCUACACCUUUAUGACGGCCGGAGCGACUCCCUCCUAAAGAUUUAUUAGUCAAAAAGUAAUCCCGGCAACAUUUCUUAAAUAAGAACCGUAAACCGGGGCACCAAAGAGAUAGGAAAACUCAACUCGGCCAUCUCCGUGAUUAAAUCCGCAGGGUGCGAUCUGGUGCGUUUCUGAAUCUUUUAAGAUUAUUUAAUCCCCUCUCCCCCCCCCCCUUCGAAAUAAUCGACGGGUUUAAUGUCCAUCGCCAGGGCUCCUGCUUCGAAAUUCCAUCCUCAGCAAUUUUGCACUAUAACAGUCAAUCACAGCUUCCCAGGGGAAGAACUUCAACGAGAUUUUCCUCGGAACCCCUUCUGCAAUUGCCACUUGCAUUUAGCGGUCUGAAAUUAAAGCUUCUCGGAAUCAUUUGAAAAAAAAAAAACCCCAUUGAGCUGCUCCUGUUUUGUCCGAGAUGAAGUAUUACUGCACUACUGGGAAAUUGCAAUGGUUUUGCUUCAUUCCGAUUUCCCGAGGAGGAAGACGCUAGCGCUUUUGCGCUCCGAGGCGCCGAGGGUCGACAAUGCCAGAGCGCCCUCUAUCGCCCAGAAGAGUCAGGACACCGACUCACUCCCCCCCCCCCAAAAAGUCAGAAUAUAUUACAUUUUAAAAUAAUCGGACGAGGACGCAUUAACCUUUUAGAUGCACCCUGUCGCCACCAUUUUUUUAAAAAAAUUAUAACGCGUAAAAUAAGGUGCCGACAGAUCUACUUGGCCUGCUUUGCUCUGCUGGGUCCCUUCUAUGAGCUGGGCCACGGCACCUCUCAGCGAGGCUUUGCAAAAUUCGCUGUUCUAGAAAGUUGCGGGUGCAGCCCGAGCGGCUUCCGUUUCCCAAAUUCUCAUUGCAGGGGAACCAAACGACUUUCGAUGGAGCAGGUGAGUAGGACGAUUUGAACGCUGCUCAUUCUCACCUGAUCGACCGAGGGCCUUUUGCAAGGAAAACUGAAAUGCAAAAAUCAGUUUUCCAUGCAGCCAAACUCGACGGAUUUCUGCUACUGCAGGGGUUCUGAACUCCAUUCAAUUAAAGGGGGGAAAAAAGCAGGUAAGUGAAAUAAAGAACGCAAAUUUUCUCUUUUUCUUUGUUUUUCUGUAACACAACCAACGGAAACCUUGUCAUCUUUCGAUCUGGGGGAGAAACCCCCCGAGGGUGGGAUAGCCGCUUUAAAGGGAGGAUAUGCCCAAGUGUCAGUUGUGUUUAUGCAGCAGAAUAUAAGGGAAGUCGAACACUGCGGGCUGUUCUGUCAGUUGACACGUACACCGUUUUGGCAUCAUUUCCGUGGAUUAAACCUUCGUGUAAUUACAGGCUUAAUACACACUCCCUUGCAAACUGAUAUUAAAUCUGAUAUUAAAUUGUGCGGGGAUGGAUCAAAGGAUGCCACCGUUUUUAGCACUAAAAUAAAAUCUUUCACUUUGGAACAAUAUUCGGAGGGAAAAAAAACGAUCACCCAAAUUACUGGACCGAAGGGGAACCGGCUUUAUUUAGGUUUUCACGUGUUGAUGUCCUAUCUCUCCGGGAAUAUAUGUACAGAUGUAUCACUUUAAUCUUGUGAAUUUCUAAAUUACAGUAGUGCGCUCGACACACUCAGCUCUUUCCAAUAAAAGAAUUCAACUUGGUAAACAUAACAGUGCUGAUGUAAUGAAGUGUGUUUAUUGACUAAGCAAUUUAAAAGUGAUUAGUUUACAUACAUCUUGUAAAAAUAAAGUUCUGCUUAUUAGAUUGUGUCAGCAUGAAA